rnacentral:tRNA from 1 species
AAAAUUUAGUUAAAUUUAUAACAUUAACUUGUCAAGUUAAAAUUAUUUUUAAAUAAAUAAUUUUUA